rnacentral:tRNA from 1 species
CAGAAAAUAAUAUAGUAUUAGUAUGUAAAUUUUGGAGAUUUGUUGGGAUAGUAUCUUUUCUGA